GGGGUGAUAGCGGCUCAGGGGGUAGAGCAGCCGACUGGGGGUUGGAAGGUCCCUGGUUCGAAUCUGCUUCCUCCCA